GUCGCCCCAGAACGGGUUGAGGGAAUGUUGUGGGUUGGGACACACCCGGGAGGGCGCAAACUGGAGGAAGCGAGAGACGUCGCCAGGCACCCAGGGUCCUCUCCUUCCAGUUCCCCGAGCCUGCCCGGUCCCGCUGGCUUCUCCCUCUAUAGCGCCCAAUCUGCCCCGGGCAGUCCCGGGCUGGCAGCCUGACCCAGUACCCCGGGCGCCUGAGUGUCAUGCCUCCGGAUCACUGCUAGGGCCCCCACCUUGGGGAAGAUGCACGCGAGUACCGCUUCCCCGAGGCUCGCUCUGAAUCAGGCGCCUGCGCUCUCAGGGGCGCCCACCCUACCCCGACGGCCGAGUUUGCGCACCUCCUGAGACAGUUUGAGAGAAGGACAAACUUUUGAGUGGAUAAAAAUCAAGAGGAACCCGUCUGGAGCAGGCAGCUCCAGCCCCAGGGAGGACCGCGAGGGUACAGAGCAAAGCUGAUCCACCCCGAGCUCGGUGUCAGGUGAUGUCGCGGGAGCACAGGGUCAUUCAGGCCUCACCUCACUGGGACCGGGCUCCUUCGCGUGUGUGUCCAAUUCCCCCGAUUACGCCAAGACAUCCCGACUUAGCAGUUCCCGACGCUCAGCCAUCAGAGCCCCAGAGGAGCCACCACAUCAAAAGCUUAGACACUAGGACUUCGAGGCGUUAGCUAGUCGACAGCCAGCCUGUCCUGAGGAGACUCCAUGCUGGGCACUGCGGUCCCAAAGAGCCUCGGGUCUCACGCAACCAGGAAAGACACAUGCAUCCCAGAUUAGUAAAUAACAAUAAUAGCCCUUACCAUG